UAACAGACUUUUUCCUUAUAUCCAACCUAAAUCUCCUGUCUUUGAGCUUGAAACCAUUUCCCCUUGUUCCAUCAGCACAGACCCUGCUAUAGAGUCUGCCCCCUUCCUUUCCCACCCCUCCCCUUCGUAUAUUGCACGGCUGCUAUCAGAUACACUGGAAGGGUUUAUUUGCCUGGUGAGUCUGGAGUCUUUCAGAGAUGCCUCGGAGACUCUGAAAGCCGAUGAGACAACCUGUGGUAACCAGAAGCCUCCAAACAAGUACAUUAAUGUCAGUCUGUUGUUCCAAGCUCUUAUGUCUAGCUAAUAGCUGCUGACAACAUAAUGAAGGAACCUUCCAGUUCCACAGACAUGGCAGAACAGCUCCCACUUCUGCAACGCUCCACACAUCUCAGCUGCAACAGAGCUGAGAUGGAGUGAGAAGGAACAAGAAAAGGACUAUGACAAGGAAAAUAUUUGAAGGCCUUCACUGCAAGCCCAACAGGCAAGUGAUAGGCAGCUAUGCUUAGGACAAAAUAAUGGGAAGAGAUGCACCACAAAAGUUCUAUCUCCUUCCUGAAGAGUUGCAUCUGUGCUGACUAGAGAGCACAGCAACUUGAACAGAGGGCAUACACACUUCAUGCAGAUACUCCCAUGCUGUAUGGCUGACAGCGUGCCCCAUAACCACACAUACUUGACAAACACUGGUGAUAGAUGUUAUCCAGCUAAACACAGCCAAGGUCACAGUACUGGAGUACUAUUCUUUUUAACGACUGGGAUAUCCUUGGGCUACGCAGGGUCAUGGGCUACUUUAAGAAGGAGAGAAGUGAAAAUAAAAUCUAUUCAGAAUGUUUUGCAUUAGCUAUAUUACUAAGAUGCUUUUUCUCCUCUCACGCUCUAGUGUUUCCAGUGACUAAACUUGCAGUUAGUUUGCAAGAACUGCAUCUAUGUGAGUUAGACAAUUCAUGGAAGAGCUAUCUUUUUUGUAACUGAAAUCCUACUUAAAAUUUUUCUUGAAAUAUGUCUCUGAAAACCUGAAGGAAGGACAGUAAGUGAAGAGAGGAAAAAAAAGAGGAAAAAGUAGCAAAACUAAUAUUAUUUGGCAGACUUACAAACAGUCAUCUGCACUUUCUGCACAGAGGUUGACGGUCUUUCCAUCCCGACAAACAAUCUGCAGUAAACAGUCUCUCUGCUUUCCCUCCGGAGGCUGGAAAUCUGAGUUGGGGAACAAGAAGAGAUAAGAAGAAUCUAUAACCAGAAUUUCACGAUCCCAUUUACAAGAAGGCCAAUAGCUUAUGCAAAACUCUGGACCAAAUAAACUGUGGCCAAUUGUA